rnacentral:lncRNA from 1 species
CUCACUCUCAAUCCACAACCCUGCGCGUAUAUUCUCCUAAGUGCGGCGGCUCCACACAACAUGGUCUUGUGGGAUGAAGUGGCAAAUGGGCACGGUCCCGGGCUUCACCUUGAGCACCUGGAACGCCAGGUGUUUCGGGUUCCACGCUGCCGUGUCGGCGUGGCAAACUGCCGCCGCAUCCACCGCCGCACCGUCUUUCCCGACCAUCUUCACCGUGUACGCCCUCGUCGUUCCCGUCAAAUGGCAGUAGAAGACCGCGUACGCGUACGUCUCUGCGUGGCACGCCACCAGCUCGUCCCCGGCCAGUUUACGGACGCCGGACGGCACGAUAGUGUACUCCUGUUUCGGAGCACCCUGCCAUCGAAUAUAAAAUAUUUAAACAUCAUUGCCUAGGUGUUUUGUAUGUAUCUAGAUAGCUAGCUAGGACUGUUGGACCAGUUGAAUCUUUACCGCCUAAUUUAAUUUUGACAAAAAAGUCAAAUUCCUUUGAAUUGUUAACUACAUGUAAUCAUCUAUAAUUUAAGCAAAAUCGAAGAAAGUGUACGUUAAUUACUUUUCAAGAUAUUGCAAUGAGAAAAUACUACUUGUACAUCUAAAAUCAAGCUGGGUGCAAUUAGUCAACAGUAUUUAAAUUUGCUAAUUUAGUCAUUAACAAAUAUAUAAAUUCAUAUAAAGAUUUGAUACUUUUUUUUAGAUAAAUUUAUCUAUAUUUAAUUCAAAUUUAUAUUCUAUUUUAUGAAAAAAUAUCGUUGUCUGAUAGCUUAAGCUCGAGACAGACCUUCUUAGGGACGGUGGUGGACACCGCCCGCACGUCGCGCGUCCCGAGGCUCGACGUGCUGAAGUCGACCAUGGACUCGAGCGACGUGGCGCAGAACUUCUUCUCCCCGCCGGCCGCCGGCUCCUGGCACUCUUGGGCAGUCUUCCGCAUCCACCGGGCCUCGACGGAGUCCGGCUGGAUCGCGAACCUGCCGAGGACUUCCGGAAGCUUCUCGACGGAGAGCGGGAUCGCGUCGGCUUCCUUCCGGGGGAGGAAAGCGGGGCCGGAAGCGACUUCCGGGAAGUGGAGCGUCAUCUUCUUCCCCGGGCGUAGGUCCUUCUCCAGGAAGAAGAGCGCGACGCUGGGGUCGUCGCGGAGCUGGGUCUCGGUGGCGGCGUAGUUGUACAAAAAGGGGCCCGCGUAGGGGACGGGGCCCACGCUCACGUGGGCCCCGCCGGGGCCCGCGUAGACGUUCGUGUCUGGCUUGACCUUCCCCGGGCCCACGUGGACCCCGGUCCCGCCGGGGCUCACGUGGACGUUCGUCGUUGGCUUGCCGUUCCCCGGGUCCACGUGGACGCCCACUCCCUUCCCCACGUUGACCGAGGCCGCCGCUUCCUCGUCCGCCACCGUUUCUGUACGUACGUAGUUUAGUACGUAUACAUGUCCGUAUAUGAAAGGAAUAAUAUAUACGUCAAUCAUAGCUUUAUUAAAAAUAAAAUUUUGUGUAAUCAAUGGAUGUAAUCUUAAAAAAAAGAGUAUACAUAUAUAUAUACACGUUAAAAAUUUAUAGUUUUUAUUGAACUUCUUUAUUGGAUUUUCGCCUACUUUAUAUAAUUACAUGAUAGGAUAGCAUGAGACUCUCGUCCAGGAAAUAAUAGCUAUAUAUCUAGGAAAUCAAUCUGAUAGAAUAAUCUAAUCUGAGGAGACCUUCUGAAACGUAUUAGAGCAGCUCUAAUUAAAACCGUAUAAUUUAAAAAAAGGUUAAUUGCAUAUAGUUUUCUGUAAACCUAUCGAAUAUUGAAUAAUAAAUAUAUUCCUAUAAAAUUCAACUUUUUAAUUUUAUAUAUUUUUAUAAAAGUUUAGUAAUAUUUAUAUUUAUUCCUCUGAUUUGUUACUGUUAAGGCGCGUUAAAGUACUCUUUAUUUUUUAACAGUAAAUAAGUAAAAUAAUAUUUUUGCGCUUACAAAAUAUAUUUCUUCAAAAGUUUCAACUGUUAGAAUUAUAUAGAAACAUUCUUCCAAAAAAAUAUUUUAUCAAAUAAUAUAAGAAGGGUAAAAAAGUAUUUUAUUUAUAAUUAACUAUAUUUUUCUAUCGGAUCCUAAUAUAUAAUAGGGAUAUAUUAGAAAAUGUUAGAACUUUUACAGAAAUAACAAUAAAAAAUUGAACUUUCUAUAAAAAUAUAUUUGCUAUUCAAUAUAUUCUCAGAGAGCUGUAUGCAAUUAACCGAAUUUAAAAAAUCAAUAUAAUUAAUCAAAAAUAUGAUCUCGAAACAACCUAACACUAAUUUCGAUUGAGAAAGAGGGAGAUAGAGAGACCAGAGCUUAGAAGGUCGCUAAUGGCGCUUGGCAUGGGAGUGUUAGGCAGGACAGAGCGCCAGUAAACUUGAGCCGGCGAAGUUGCAUGUGUAGUUGCUACUGCUACAACCUGAAACAGUACAUGUACAUAAUAAACUAACGAGCACAUGUAUUCAUAUCCCUCGUAAAAUAUAAUAUUGGUGAUUACUUACGAAUAGCAGGGAAAGGAGAGGUAACGAGUGACCCAUGUUUGAAGCUCAGUACACUUGCAAUGAGUUUAGAUCGAGGAGAUCGAAGUGAUGGGUUUAUAUAGCCUGGUUAGGUCACUAGAAUUAGGAAGGUAAUUAAUUUAAAAUAUUAAAGCGUGAGGAGAAUUAGGGCCGUUUUUUCUUCUUCCAUCUGCCUAAGAAAGGUGACGGAAUUUAAUUAGAAAACAUCGCAACCGUCCCUGGCUCACGCCAUUCAAUGCUGGUGGAUGAUUGUGGUGAGUGUUUGGUCCCGUGGCUUUAUCGCAUUUGACGUGUACGCACUCCGUUGUUGACCGCAUCCUACUAGGGAUGCAAACGUAACGGAUCCUGAAGUGGAAGGAUUUCUCAUCUCCCGCCACGUCUUAUUCUGGGGAGUGGGAUAGAUCGUUUUUUUUUUUUUUUAAUUUCUAAAAUUCGGAGCAAGUUGGGACAAGAGUGGUUUGUUGGCGGAUCAAAAUGAAUCUAGAGAAGAAAGAAAUUAUGUCCCGCACUUCAUAGCAAAUCGGGGCAGAUUAUUAAAAUUAAAAGCUAGAAUAUAUUUAAAAAAAAGGAGCAAAACUGUAUGUUAUUGCAUCGUUUCUUGGCAUCCGCUAUCUGAAUUAAUAAUUCGAGCCACUAAACUUGAUUUAGAUUAUUUUAAUAUUUAACUUUUAAAUUUUAUAAUUUUUUGAUAUUAUUUUAUCUAAUAAUCAAAUAAUUUCUAAUUUAACUUUUUAAUAAUUAAUAUAAAAUAAAUUUAAGACUACUUAAUCACUAGGAAAAUAAAAUUUAAAAAUUACAAAAAUAUGAGCCUUAAUUUAUGAAGUUCAAAUAGUAUAAAUUAUUUAUACCGGUGCCUAUCGUGGAAUCAGCUGUUUUAUUAUUGGAAACAAUCUACAAGUAAAUAUGUACUUCCAUUUACUCUAAGGGAUAAUUGCCUUAUACUCCUCAUACAUUUGAAAAUAUCCGAUUUAUCUCUACUUUUUCUUUCUUUCUAAAAUACCCCUCAUAUGUUUCACCGUUAUUGCAAAUUACCCAUGCAGUUAUCUCCUGUUAAGUUAAUUUGAGUUAAAUGUGAGUUAAAUAUCUACCAUAGUUAAAAUUAAAAUGUCAAUUUUGCCCUUAACUUAAGGGCAAAUAAGAAAGGUUGGUGACGGUAGAGGGGUAUAUUGGAAAAGACCAAAAGUCAAAACACUUUUUUUGCCCCUGAUUUUAAGAGCAAAUAAGAAAGACAGUGAUGGUAGAAUGAUAUAUUUGAAAGGGCAAAAUAGUAAUUUUACAGAAAUAAUAGAGUUAUUUAACAGAUUUUAACUCUAGGUAUAUUAGAAAUAGGUUGGAACGUAAGAGGAGUAUUUUCAAUAUUAGCCUUCUAAGAGAGGUAAAUCGAAAAGUCGAGAACAUUUCAGAGGUAUAUAAGCAAUUGCCCCUACUUCUAAAUAUAUUCUAAUUUUGUUUUUGUAUGUGAGAGAGAGAGAGAGAGAGAUGUUUUUUGUCCAACACUUAUUAUGGACUCGGUCUUCUAAUAAUUAAUUUAUGGUGGGUGCCAGAGAACCACCUGAAUUUAAUUUCUUCCGUGGUCAAGCUCUCCUUAAUACACCUUAAUACAUUGAUUAAUUUCCAAAUACACUAAUUUUGGAUAAAUUGCACUAGUCCCCAAAGUUUCUCCUAAGUUUUAUUUUACUUCUCAAACUCUAAGUUUCGGCAUCAGUGGUGAUCAGUAAACAAUUAAAAGAGUUUUAUUUUGGUCUUUACAUAGGUUUACAAUUAAAGAAUUAUCGAUUGCCUACGCUGAGUGCAACUACAUGGGUUUACGAUCAGCUAACUUUUUCCAUCGUAUAUUUUAUUUCUGCUAUUCAUUGAGUUAUAAUUUUUGCUCAAUAUGAAAAUUAGACAACAUUUGAAUUAAAAGUACGAGAUGCAUAAGAAAAUGAUAAUUUCAUAGUGUACGAAUAAAUAAAUGAAAUAGGUGCAAACAAUCAUUACUAAUAUAGAAUAACGACUAACAUGAAACAGUAUACUAAUUUUUAUAUUUUGAAAGACUUGAAAAGAAACUCCCGAAGUACUUUAUAAUUUUUCUGCUUUAAUGCUAUAAGAUAAUAAUAAUAGGAACCAACAACAAUUUCUAACAUCAUUUCAUAGCAACUAAAAACCAAGUAUAUAUAAAAUAUUUAUAAUUUUUAAAACGUUUUAACCUAUAGAAUACAGACGUAUUUAAACACCACAAUCAUGUGGACCACAAUCAUGUAGAAAAUCAGGCCUCAAGGAAUUGUACAUAGGACAGACGCAUGAAAAAGAUGAUAUUUUUUCAGAGAGAGAACACGUACGGUAGUUGACUACUUGCUUCGUUUAUAAAGUUUUUUUAAAACAAAUUCAGUUAAAAUAUAAUUUUUUUAAGUCAUGGGUAUAGUACAUAUUGCAAUAUAACGCAAUGAUGUUUGGUUGUACUAUAUAAAACGACGACAUAUAUCGAUACGCAGUGUACACGGGCGCCGACAGAGUUGACGCUAAGUGCUGCAGUAUGCAUGCAGAUAUACAUUUGCUGACAAGCAGAUCUACUGCUGUGUCAAGACAAAUAUGUUUGAUUUGUUGCAAAUUAACGGCCGGCAGCAACGUUGUCGGUCGAGUCGCGUCAUGACUCACGGGCGAGAAGGGCUGCUAUCUAGAAAAUGCAUUACAUCUGCGCAUUUAUGAGGUGAAAGAGCGGGGUGCGGCAACGCUGAACAGAACGACGGAGACGGAGAGGGAGAGGGAGAUGAGAUUGAGAUGGAACGAAUUAAUGAUAUCGGACUUAUGUUAAUAUCACGUAGCUGGAUCACUUACAGCUGUUCCGCAUGCACAUGAAGUUGAAAUUACAUAACGAGACUCUAUAGCUGUAUUGACGUGUGUGUAUAUCCGAAUUGACUGCGAUUCCAAAUACAACUGUAAUAGAAAAAAAAAAAAAAAGUAAUUAUAUUUGUCGAAUGGAUCGUUAAUAAAAGACUAAUCAACUUAUGAACUAACACAGAAGUGAUUUGAUGGAUUCUUGUAUGGGCCAUUUUUUUCAGCGUGACGAGAAAAGAAGAGAGAGUGAAUGAAGCUGAGAUCGCCCCACGUGUCAUUCCUGAAUCAACUUAAUUUUUCAUCAGUGGUGGGGCGCGGUUUCCUGUAAACAUCUCGUGCCGUUUUAAAUCUCAAUCACCGUAGCUUUCGUUCAUUUAAAACCAACCAUAUUAGAUUAGGGAAGAGAUCAUCACCAUCAUCGUUAUUAAGCUCCUCCUAUUUAUAGCUGAUUUUAUAUAUUGAUAAGUUUCUGGACGAGUUCUAAACUACUGUUCCACGGGUGCUAAGCUAAGAGGUCAGGGAUUUAAUUCUCUGUCAGUGUAAUUAUAAAAUAAGAGCGUUCUAACCCUCGUUUUUUGCAAAAAAAAAAAAAUAAAAAAAAAAUUAUACAUUUGUGAACACACAGGCUUUGUGGGGUAAAUAUACUGGCUAGCAGAAAAAACAAAAAGAAGCACUUAUUUUUGUCAUUUGUCAACUUGUGCACAGAGAGAGAGAGAGAGAGAGAGAGAGAGAGAGAGAGAGAGAGGAGAGGUGUGAAGUUUGUUACAUACUGUUUUCACAAGUGAUAGUCAUGAGCAAUUUCACACUUUCUCACUCUAGUUCCAUAUGAUUUAAAGUAUAUCAAUUUAGUAUCUUGUGAUUUUAUUUUUAUAUUUUUAUUAUCGAUUCCACAAAUUUUUUUUGUUAAAUGAGUGAGAAAGUUAAAACUAAAGGGUACUAAAGUGAAUAUUCGAUAAAUCUAGAUAGGCUAUCUGAAGCUUUUUUGGUAUAUAAUUUAACGAAAUAUUAACAAAAAAAUUGACGAAAAGAUAGAAAUGAAACCACUGGACACUAAUUUGAUACACUCUAAACCAAAUGGUACUAAAAUGAGAAAGUGCAAAACCAAAUGGGUGGUAUUUAAAAUUUAUCCUAUUUUUAAAUUCAAAAUAUAAAUAUAUAUUUUUAACUAAAAGUAUCAAAAUUAAAAAGUUAAUAUAACAAUAAAAUAUUAGUAGAUAGAAUAGACAUAAUAUAUAAAUAUUUAUCUUAAUAAGAAAAGAUAUUGAAUGAUAAAAAUAUUUAAUAAAAAUAAAAUAUUAAUAAUUGGAGAAAAAAGAGGAACUAUCAUUACGUUAUUUAAUUUGUGUACAAAAAAGAUAAAUGUUGAAAUGNAUAUAUAUAUAGAGUAAAGAUCAUAAUUUUUUAUUUUUUUUGGUGAUGUUAUGGUUAGAAGGUUAUCUUGGCAUCAAAAUAUUAGGUGACAAAUCAGCUCUGCAAGUUAGAAAAAUUUUUGGCAACUUAGUUGUGCUCUCCUGGUUUAAUUCCCAAUUUAUGAUUAAUUAGUAAAGUUAUCCGCGCAUUGCGGCGGGCAGAUACUAUAAGAGACAGAAGAUUGACAAACUAAAAUAUUUUAAAAUUUUUUCACGUGUCAUGAGAAAUCAAUAAAUACAAAUAAAAGAUAUGAAACAGAUAUAGCAAAAUUUAUAAUUUCAGCAAAUAAAUUACACGCAAUAAUAAUAAAAAAAAACAGCAAUAGAACACUAUUCCAUACGCAUCUUAAUUGUGUUGCUCAUAUCGGAAAGGCGAAUCUUGAUCUCCACUUCUCAUUCACCGCCAUUGUCAGCGAUCUCCACUUCUCAUUCACCGCCAUUGUCAGCGUCGAGUUCCUGUUUAAUUACGGCAAUACAUAUCUUAUUUUAUUUGUUUUUUUUAUAAUAUUGAUUUGUUUAGAUGACAAUGAAUAUGAACAUAUUAAUUAAGAAAUAGACACGUAGAAAAACGAAACAUCACGCGGGGAUAAAAGAUAAUAAAUUUGAUCAUUAAGAAUUAGGAAGAAAGCAAGAAUGAGAGAAGAAGGUAAGGACGAAGGAGACUUUGCAAUGUGGCAAAGUUUAUGAAGAAGAAUGUAUAGGUAUAAAUAGAUAGAUUGACUACGAAGUGAAGCUUCCGUAAAUGCUCUGAACUGUAAAAGUUGUCAACAUUAAUGAAUCAUGAAAAUGUCCAUAGAAAAGUAUUCAGGCUAGCAAUUAAACCAAGCUGCAUCCGAAUGCCAUGAACUUACAUCGGGUUCGGGUUAAGAUCAAUUUCGUCUCGAGUUUAAAUGAGACGAGCUUGAGAGAAACGGGCUUGAACUGCACUACUAGUUUGGUCCAUGCACAGCGCACUCUUGUGGGCUUCAGCCCAAAUUUCGUAGCCCAAUAAAUAAAGCCCAAAUAUCCUGAGUCUAGACCAAAUUUGCCCACGUCAAAUAUCGUGCACGACUAAUUCAUCAAGUCCGUUCGAUCUGAGCAAACCAAGCUCGACCCCGGUCCAAUAAACCCAACUUUUGGGAUCCCGUCUAAAUUCAUAAUUCGGCAUGGUGGGAUUCGAAUUUAAGAUCUCAUGUUUUAAUAUAUUAUUUAUAACAACCCUAAUUCUCCCAAGUUUAAGAUAUCAGAGAAUGUAAUUUUAUAUUAUAUAUUCAAAUAUACUUUACUCCCACAAAUUGUAUUCUACAUAGCGUGAAUGAGAUCCAAUGUCAUCAUCUAUCAUAACUUGGAAUUCUAAUUAAUUCAUCGUAAUCUAUGCACUUAAUGACAAUUUAGAAAACUCUUUACAGAUGUGAUCUUAGUCAUAUAUAUAUAUAUAUAAGAACUGUCAUGGACAUAGAUUCGAGGCACCAAUUAAACAAAAUUGUUAGGAACAUUUCCUUAAAUUUAUUUAAUAUUUAGCUGGUCGAUAAUAUUUUAAUUUUAAAAUUUAAACUAAUUAUUUUACUAAAUUUAUAAUGGCAAGAAUUUCAUAAAAUAUACUCACUAUAUUUAUAAAAAUAAACAACGUAUUGAAUUUUUAAGUCAAAAUAGUGUUGAUCAACUCGAACUAGAUAAAUGAAAAGUUGGAUAGUAAAAUCAAAAUGUUUAAAAAGAUAAUAAAAUUAAAAUAUUGGAAAUUAUGGUAGCUAACAAAAAAAUAUCCAUAGUUUUGAUAGGUUUUAUACCCUUUUACUAUAAAAGAAACUUUCGGCCAAAAUUCGCUUAUGCAACCCUGCAAUAAUACACAAUAUACCAGUAAAAUAAUUGUUUGAUACAAAACUGUAACACCUCAAGUGACAUCCAAGAUGCAAAUUAGCUAGUUUAGGCACGACUUAAUUGAUAUAAAUAUAGCAAUAGUUAACCAAACAUUAUCAAAAGAAAUAUGAUAUAAAUAGCUUUAUGCAUAAAUUUGUGGUUGUGGUAAUAAAUGAUAUUCAAGGGAGAAAGAGAUAUAAAAAAUAUGAGGUACUCUUAUCCCCUUUAUACUCAAACGCUAAUUUUUUACCUGAGAAUAGUAGUUUUCGGUUAUCCCCACCAACACCUCCAUUUUCUAUAUAAAACUAUCUAAAAUUGUUCUUAUCUCCAGGAAUCAUAGAAGUUAGGACAAUAAGGAUGAAGGAAUUUGAGCGCUUAUGUAGCUAAUAACUCUGCCACCUUCAUACUUGAUUUAGGUGCAUAGCAGCCUUGUGGCGCUGCCCUUUCAGGUAUAUCCCAUACAUCGAUCCAAUUUUCAAUCAAACACUAUUUUUUUUAUUCCCAUACUUGUAUCUAUACCUGUAAUAGCUAGUUCUUACUUAUAUCCGAACCAAACGGUACCUUACAAUAUUGCGAAUGAUAAAUUUGGAGGGAAAAAAAGAAACAUAGUAUAGUUAUAUAUCAGACGAUCAUAGAAAUAUUUAUUCAAGUAAAAGCUGGUUAUACUUGUUACUAUCCAAAUAAUGCUGACUUUUGAAAAAAAAAAAUACAUACAUAAAAGUAAACUUAUAAAAGAGAAAAAAAAAAAAAAGAAGCUCAUUCUUUCUGACAUUUCUAAACAAUUCAUCUAUGAGACAAAGCUCUUGUGUGGCCCGCAGCUAAUUGCCUUCGUGCUCAUAAAUUACCUACUUCUUUUAAUAAAAUUUUAUUUUUAAAAAAAUUAAUUUACUUAUUAAUUAAAAAGCUGGAAUAAAAUUUUAAGUUUCUAAACCAAUUGAUUGAAAGUAUAAUAUAUAAAAAUUUCGACUAUAUAUAAAACAAUCUAUUAAAUCCGAAUUAGUCAUAAUAAUUUUUUUAGAAAAAUAAUUGCCAAAUUUUUCUUUACUAUGCACGGGAAACUCCCUUCAUCUCACCGUGCUCGCGUGUGCCAUCUUCACAUGCAGCUAGGGAUGCAAACGGGGCGGAUCCGGGGGCUGAAGAGUUCUCCCACCUCCCGCUUCAUUUUUUAUCGGGGCGGGGCGGAUUCGGGACGGAUUACUUUUUAUUUUAUUUUUGGCUCCCACUUACCGCUCCAUUCGGGACGGAUUGGGGCGGGAGCCGGAUUUUUGACGGAUCGGGACGGAUUGAAGGAAGAAAAGAGUUUUCCACCUCCCGCUCCAUUUACUUGGCGGAUCGGGACGGAUUCGGAACGGAUUAUAUUUUUUUAUAUUUUUUAUUUUCACUUACCACCCCAUUCGAGAUGGAUCGGGACGGAGCUCCACCAACCCGGAUCCAUUUGCAUCCCAACGUGCCGCCGACUCCAAAUGGUCUCUCUGCUCUCCUCACUUCAAAUCCACACACUCCUACCCCAAAAAAUAAAAAAAAUAAAAAGAAUACAAAAAUACAAAAAAGAGAGCAAACAUUAACAGAAACACUCACACAGAGGAUGUGGGUUGCAGCAAACUGAGCCACCUUCGCCUCGGCGAUUCCAUCCUUCCGCAUCCGAUCCAUCCCCGUUGCUCAAUGCUCCUCCUCCUCCUCCUCCUCCUCCUCCUCUCCGUCAUCGUCGCUGCAGCCGCCGCCGCCGCCGCCGCCGCCGCCUAUGCCGCCAUCAGUGCCUCCCAUGACCCUUCUUUUCUCUCUCUCUCUCUCUCUUUGUUUAUGUCAUUCUGACCCUGCCUAGUGGUGGAAAAAUUCUAGAAUGCAACGGGUAUAUUAGUGACGUGGCGUAACAAAUCAAUCAAAUUAAUUUUUUUAAAAAUAUAUGUUCUAUUAUGAUUGUAAAAAGAUUUGUUUAUUGUAUUUUUAUUUGAAAAGAAAAAAUGUGAUUGGUUUGUUAUUGAUGACGUGGUACAAAUAUGACAGUGUAGAAUCCCUCCUAGUGGUGGGGUUAGAGUGAGGAGAAGCAAUAAUUAGUUUAAAAAAAAAGAGGGUAGGAAAAAUUUAGAAGAGAAAAAAAGAGAUGAUAAAACCUUUUGUCCUUGGAUGUGACAGAGGAUGUGAGAAGGAGAGAAGAUUAAUUAAUAAAAUAGAAAAAAAGUGAUGGUGACUGUAGGUGAGACAUUAAGGGGGCGUUUGGAUUGACGAAUUUGUAGAUUCAACGUAAGUCAAGUGUAGUGGUGUUUGAUUUUUCCUGAAGUGUGAUUAUUUUUCUGUUGUUUGUUUUGACGUAACUUGUACCACUGAAAGUUAAAUUCAAUCAUUUCUGCUGCUUGUUUUGAUGUAACUUGGUGCCGGUAAAAUUAGUUUUUUGAGUUCCGUUGUUUGUUUUGAUGUAAGUAAGUGGAUCCCAUUAUCUCCUAAAUAUAGUAAUAAAUUUAUCACUAUAAAAUUUAACCUAUUAUAUAAUUAAAUUUUUUAUUAUUAUUUAAAGAUAAUCUUAAUUUAUUAUAAAUAAGGUAAUUUUAACCCAUUAUAAAGAAAGNCAAGUCUAAUGGAGCCGAUCGUCAAUUUGGAAGCGGCAUCAUUGAAAACAACUUGGUAGCACGAAGGCUUCCGUGCUACCGAUAGUAUACCAGCCUAGCUCUAUAUAUAUAUAUAUAUAUAUAUAUAGUAAAGAUCAAAUUUUUUAUUUUUUUUGGUGAUGUUAUGGUUAGAAGGUUAUUUUGGCAUCAAAAUAUUAGGUGACAAAUCAGCUCUGCAAGUUAGAAAAAUUUUUGAUUACUUAGUUGUGCUUUCCUUGUUUAAUCCCAAUUUAUGAUUAAUUGACCACGAAGUGAAGCUUCCGUAAAUGCUCUGAACUGUAAAAGUUGUCAACAUUAAUGAAUCAUGAAAAUGUCCAUAGAAAAGUUUUCGGGCUAGCAAUUAAACCAACCUGCAUCCGAAUGCCAUGAACUUACAUCGGGUUCGGGUUAAGAUCAAUUUCGCCUUGAGUUUAAAUGAGACGAGCUUGAAAGAAACGGGCUUGAACUGCACUACUAGUUUAGUCCAUGCACAGCGCACUCUUGUCGGCUUCAGCCCAAAUUUCGUAGCCCAAUAAAAAAAGCCCAAAUAGCCCGAGUCUAGACCAAAUUUGCCCACAUCAAAUAUCGUGCACAACUAAUGCAUCAACUCAGUUCGAUCUGAGCAAACCAAGCUCGACCCCGGUCCAAUAAACCCAACUUUUGGGAUCCCGUCUAAAUUCAUAAUUCGGCAUGAUGGGAUUGGAAUUUAAGAUCUCUUGUUUUAAUAUAUUAUUUAAAACAACCCUAAUUCUCCGAAGUUUAAGAUGUCAGAGAAUGUAAUUCUAUAUUAUAUAUUCAAUAUACUUUACUCCCACAAAUUGUAUUCUACAUAGCGUGAAUGAGAUCCAAUUUCAUCAUCUAUCAUAACUCGGAAUUCUAAUUAAUUCAUCGUAAUCUAUGCCUUUAAUGACAAUUUAGAAAAUUCUUUACAGAUGUGAUCUUAGUCAUAUAUAUAUUUACUAUUUAAGAACUGUCAUGGAAAUAAAUUUGAGGCACCAAUUAAACAAAAUUGUUAGGAACAUUUCCUUAAAUGUAUUUAAUAUUUAGCUGGUCGAUAAUAUUUUAAUUUUAAAAUUUAAACUAAUUAUUCUACUAAAUUUAUAAUUGUAAGAAUUUCAUAAAAUGUACUCACUAUAUUUAUAAAAAUAAACAACGUAUAGAAUUUUUUAAGUCAAAAUACUAUUGAUUGACUCGAACCAAAUAGAUGAAAGGUUGGAUAGUAAAAUUAAAAUAUUUAAAAAAUAAUAAAAUUAAAAUAUUGGAAAUUAUGGUAGCCAUCAAAAAAUAUCCGUAAUUCUAAUAGGUUUUAUACCCUUUUAGUAUAAAAGAAACUUUCGGCCAAAAUUCGUUCAUGCAGCCUGCAAUAAUGCACAAUAUACCAGUAAAAUAAUUGUUUGAUACAAAACUGUAACACCUCAAUUGACAUCCAAGAUGCAAAUUAGCUAAUUUAGGCAUGACUUAAUUGAUAUAAUAUAGCUAUUAAUAGUAUUUGUUCUUUUUUGCUAUUAAAUUUUUAAUUUUUAGAUUAAUUCAUUUGAUCAUUUUUAAUCAUUAAUUAAAUAUUAUAACCCUAAGAGGAUCACUCAAUCCUAAAGGACUAAUAUCAUAUUAACCUUGAGUCAUUUUUAUUAGUUCCCAAAAAUAAGGUUACCAAGAUAUCUAGAGAGAUUGAAAAGGACAACAGUGACUCUGCCUUUGUCUACAUUUUCUGAUUUUAAGAUAGAGAGGAGUUUAGAGAGGGAGGAGAUUGGGAUUACUUAAAAUGAAAGAAAAGUAAAAUAUGUAUGGUGAAUAUAAGGGAUACGUUGUGUCUUUCGUAGCGAGUUGUGGGAUCAAGCACGAGCGCAGUGUACAGACCCCAGUGUAUAUGAAAACAGCUCUGCACUGCCUUUUUUAUUCUACAUCAUAUAUAUAUCAUACAUAGACCCCAACGUACAGAGACUCCACGUUCAUACAUAUAUUCUACAUCUUCACCACAUCUACAUCAUAAAUAGACCCCAAGGUAGAGAGACUCCAUGUUCACACGACAAUUAAACAUUUAUAACAUACACCAAUCCAUAUAUAUAUAUAUAUAUAUAUAUGGAUCGGUAUACUAGUUCACACCACAUCACGUACGUCUCUCUCUUAUUUUCUCUCUCUCUCUCAAUCCACAACCCUGUACAUACGUACGUGCAUCCUCCUAAGUGCGGCGGGUCCACACAACAUGGUCUUGCAGGAGGAAGUGGCAAAUGGGCACAGUCCCGGGCUUCACCUUGAGCACCUGGAAAGCCAGGUGUUUCGGGUUCCACGCCGCCGUGUCCGCGUGGCAAACCGCCACCGCGUCCACCGCCGCCCCGUCUUUCCCGACCAUCUUCACCAUGUACGCCCUCGUCGAUCCCACCAUGUGGCAGUAGAAGACCGCGUACGCGUAUGCCUCCAUGUGGCACACCACCCCAUCACUCCCGGCCAGUUUACGGACGCCGGACGAUACGAUUGUGUACUCCUGCUUCGGAGCACCCUGCCAUCAAAUAUAUAUAAAAUAUUAAAAUAUAUAUUAUUGAUCAAAAAUUUAUAUUGCCGCUCUGAAAGUAAUAUUCUGUAUGUAUAUUUUUAAGUAGCUAUGAUUGCCUAACCAGUUGAGUUUUUUCUGUCUAAUUUAAUUAUGAAUAUUUUUUUUUUUGUCAAAGUCCUUUGAACUUAAUUUAGAAUUGUUAACUGCAUGUAAUCAUUUAUAGUUUAAAUAAAAUAAAAGAGAUAGUACAUAAAUUAAUUUUUAAUAUAUUGCAAUGAGAAAAUGCUAGUUCUACACCGAAAUUAAGUAGUUCGAAUGAUUAUGUAUAGUCGUACCAAAUUUUGGAAAAAUCUGGUAUUUCUUUUUGUACUUUAUUUAUUUAAUUCAUACUUAUAUUUUACUCUAUAGAAAAUCCGUAAGGAAAAAUGCUUGUAACGCAAUAUUAAAUUACUGCUCGAUCUUUGGUAGCUAUAGCUAAGGGUGUGUUUCAUUCCUCGUAAAAUCACCCUGAAUUUUUUUUUUGGUUGAAAGGUGAGAUUUCCGUGUUUGGUGGCUCAUAAAAUAAUUUUUUAAUAAACUUUAUUUUACAAAUUCUGAGGAAAAACGAGGAUUUAUUUUAUAGUAUUAAAUAUAUAUAUACAUAUAUAUAGAGUGAGGCUACUAUACUUCUGAAAGCACGGAGCCUUCCGUGCUUCCAGGUCGUUUUCGAUGUUGCGACUUUUGAAUCGUCGAUCGGCUCCGUUAAACUUGAUCUAGAGUAUUUGAAGUACCUAGAAAAUAAAUUUUGCAAUUUUUCGAUAUCAUUUGCCUAGUGAACUAAGGGGCUCAAAAUCAACGACUGAAAAUAAAAAUCUUACAAAACGUGAUAAUAUGACAUUAAAAUUUUAGAUCGAAGAUAUUGAUCUUGUUCUAUAUAGUAUAAAGAAUUUUCUAUCAAAAUUUCAGGUGAUUUGGAUAUUUCUACACCGUUAAACUUGCAAACGGCUCACCACGGCCAUUAAAAUUAUUGAUUUUUAGUCCCUUCGAUCACCAGGCAAAUAAUAUCGAAAAAUUAUAAAAUUUAUUUUCUAGAUUUUUCAAAUACUCUAGAUCAAGUUUAACGGAGCCGAUCGACGAUUCGAAAGUCGCAACAUUGAAAACGACCUGGAAGCACAGAAGGCUCCGUGCUUCCAGAAGCAUAGUAGCCUCACUCUAUAAUCUAUAUAUAUAUAUACUAUUAUAUUAUAUUAUAUAUUUAUUGUAUAAUAUAUUUUAAAUAUAUUUUAUUUACCAAUAUAAAUUAUAAUAUUAAUAUAUGUAAUACGAUAAUUAUUAUAUAUUAAUAAUAUUAUAUAUAUAUAUAUAUAUAUAUAUAUAUAUAUAUAUAUAUAUAUAUAUAUAUAGAGUUUUGCUAGAAUAUUAUCGGUAAUAAACGGCUCGAUUUACUACCAAUUUAUUUUUUAUGACAGAGCUUCCAAAUUGAUGAUCGACACCGUUAAGCACGAUCUAAACUAUUUAAACUAUCUAGAAAUCAAAUUUCACACAUUUUCGAUAUUGUUCUUUUGUCCAUUAAGUAAAUAGAAAAAUAAAUGGCUGAAAAUGAAUAUCUUUCAAAAAGUGAUGAUACAAUUUUUAUCUUUGAGAUCUAGAGUCUAGAUCUUAUUUUAAAUAGUUUAAAUAAUUUUUUAACAAAAAUUUAGUUGAUUUGAACUCUUCUAUACCGUUAAACGGGCAAACGCACCAUAUCGGCCAUUAAAAUUAUAAAUUUUGUGACGCUUUGAUCGUUAAGUUAGUGAUGCCAAAAAAUCAUGUAAUUUAAUUUCUAGAUAAUUUAAAUGAUCUAGAUCAUGUUCAACGAUGCCGAUCGUCGAUUUGAAAGCUCUAUCAUAAAAAAUAAUCAGUAGUAAACUGAACAGUUUACUAUCAAUAGUAGCCCAGUCAAACUCUCUCUCUCUCUCUAUAUAUAUAUAUAUAUAUAUAUAUAUAAUAAUGGUUUAUUUUUAAUUUUUUCUUUCUUUCUUAUUCUUUCAACCAAAACAACCGAACGAAAAUUUUUUUUUUUUUUUUACAAAUCAAAUGCUAAAAGAUAUAAAAUUUAUUUUCUUUCGAAAAUUUUUUUUCCACGGAAUUUUCUUUUUCGCAGUUUUACGUGAAACCAAACCGGCCCUGAAUCUUUUUCGAGAAAAACCUUCUUAGCGACAAUGGUCGACACGGCCCGCACGUCGCGCGUCCCGAGGCUCGACGUGCUGAAGUCGACCAUGGACUCGAGUGACGUGGCGCAGAACUUCUUCUCCCCCUUCAUCGCCGGCGCCUCGCAAUCUCUGGCCGUCUUCCUCAUCCACUGGGCCUCGAUGGAGUCCGGCUGGAUCGCAAACCGGCCGAGGACUUCCGGAAGCUUCUCGACGGAGAACGGGAUCGAGUCGGCUUCUUUCCUGGGGAGGAAAGCGGGGGCGAAGGUGAGUUCCGGGAAGUAGAGGGUCAUCUUCUUCCCGGGGGGGAGGUCCUUUUCCAGGAAGAAGGGUGCGACGCUGAGGUCGCCGCGGAGCUGGGUAUGGGAGGCGGCGUAAUUAAACGUCGCCCUGUCAGUAACGGAGGCGGCGUAAUUACGGUUGUCGUCAGUAUCGAAGGCGGCGGGGCCCACGCUGACCCCGGCCCAUCUGGGGCCGACGUGGACGUUCGUCGUUGGCUUGCGCUUCCCCGGAUACACGUGGACGCCCACUCCCUUCCCCACGCUGACCGAGGUCGCGGCUUUCUCCCCGGCCGCCGUUUCUGUAGUUAAGUACGUACGUACCGACAUGAAAUAAAAAAAAAAAAAAGUGAAUCGUAGCGGUAUUAAAAUAAAAAUUUUUGGUCAAUGGAUGCGAUUUGCAGAAUAUUAAAAAAAGUAUUUAUAAUUUUCUAUUGAACUUUUUUUUAUUGAAUUUACUACUAUAUGAUAAUUAUAUGAUAUAUAUGUCAGCAUAAAAUUUUGGUCCACCAAUUAAUUGCUAUCUAAAAAAACAAAAAAAAAUAUUUCUGGAACGUAGGGGCUUACAGCCGCUCUAAUUAAUAUUUUAUUAUUUUAAAAACAAAUAUAAUUAAUAAAAAAAUGAUCUCAAAACAAUCUAAUACAAAUUUCGGUCAAAAAGGAGAGAGAUAGAGAGACGAGAGCUUAGGAGGUUGCUAAUGGCGCUUGGCAUAGGAGUGUUAGGUAGGAUGGAACGCCAAUAAACUUGUGCAGGUGAAGUUGCAUGUGCAGUUGCUGCUGCGGCAACCUGAAACAGUACGCAUAAAUAAUGAACUAACUGCCUCGCAUGUAUUCACAUCUCUUGUAAAAUGUAAUGGUGAUCAGAGAAGCCAGAUUUUAUUAAUUACUUACGAGUAGUAGGGAGAGGAGAGGUAACCAGCGACCCAUGUUUGAAGCUCUGUACACUUGCAAUGAGUUAAGAGGGGAUCGAAGUGAUGGGUUUAUAUAGGGGUUAGGAAACUAGAAUUAGGAAGGUAAUUAAUUUAAAAUAUAAAAGCGUGAGGAGAAUAGGGCGGUUUUUUUUUUCUAUCUACCGAAGAAAAGUGCCGGAACUAAAUUCCAAGACAUCCCAACCAUCCUGGNAUAUAUAUAUAUAUAUAUAUAUAUAUGGAUCGGUAUACUAGUUUACACCACGUACGUCUCUCUCUUAUUUUCUCACUCUCUCAAUCCACAACCCUGUACGUACGUACAUGCAUCCUCCUAAGUGCGGCGGGUCCACACAACAUGGUCUUGCAGGAGGAAGUGGCAAACGGGCACAGUCCCGGGCUUCACCUUGAGCACCUGGAACGCUAGGUGUUUCGGGUUCCACGCCGCCGUGUCGACGUGGCAAACCGCUGCUGCGUCAACCGCCGCCCCGUCUUUCCCGACCAUUUUCACCAUGUACACCCUCG